GUAACAUGAACUAUGCAGACAGCAGCCUAGAACUGAGAAACAGACCCUCUGGGAAGGCCAGAGAGGUGUCACAAGGCUCGUGCACCAAAAACUACGGGUGACUCCUCAGGUUACUGCAUACGUCUGUGGAGAAUGGCCCUACAACUGGUGUAAAUAGAAAAUGCUGGGUAACACAAGAGACCAAGACAAUAUGUUUGUCUGUCCUUACAAGAGACAACACGUCAUAGGAGAAUGGAAGUUGUUCUUGAUGGGAGGCCAGUGAUUCUCCUUAGAAGAUAGGCAAGCAGAAUAUAGGAGGGGACCUAGAAUCAGUGCUUGGCACAAAGUAGGGCAAAUGUCCAUGAAUGUGAGCUGGGCGCCUCGGUGAAUGAAUGAAUGAAUAGCAAAAUGAAGAAACACAGUAGAAUCUGGUCUGUCAGACCCAGCCACUUCCGACUUCUUUCAGAAUCACACUCUCUGGAGAAGCCCUCAAGACCAGUUACCCACCUAGCCAGUGACAUAAACACCCAAGACUUCACCGGAUGCCAUAAAACCACGCAGUAUAGACCUGGACAAAGCUAUGUCAAUCAUAAGAGACAUCCUGUUGGGCUGCUGUUUACACAUCAUAGUCUCCUAAAACUCCCACUGGCCAGGGCCAUCUUGGUCUGGUCCAUUUCUGACCCAAACUGAAACUGGCCCGUGUAAGCAUUAAAAGAG